ensembl:snRNA U6 U6 spliceosomal RNA
GUGAUCCCUUCAGCAGCACAUAUACUUAAAUUAGAACAGUAUGGAGAAGAUUAGCAUGACCCCUGUGCAAGGAUGACACACAAAUUCAUGAAUCAUUUCAUAGAAAG